rnacentral:lncRNA from 1 species
UGGGUAGACCGCUUCCCGCGCGUUCGAGACGGGUUGGGGAGGAGCGCUUCACUCCCUCACCUUCCUCCCCGCGGCCUCCACCGUUUCUCUCACCGACUCGUGGGGAGCCCGCGAAACCUCCGGUGCUUGUUCACGCACUUCCAGGGACUGGCAGCACAUCACCAUCACCUCUUGAGAAGAUUGAAAUGGAAAACUGGAAAAGUUGAUGAAUUUAUGCUCACAAAACCAAGUCAAAAAGCCAGGGCAGCUAUGACAAGGUUGAAGUUCAUCCCUCAGAAGUGAAUGAAACAGAGGGGUCAACCUCCCUAAUCAUUUUGAUCACCAGGAUAAUGAUGACUGACCAAUUAGACUAGUCAUUGAUAUCCAGCAUAAAGAUGGCCAUAACAGCUUAUUUGGCAUCAUUGCUGAUUCCUCUUCCAGCCAUGCCUUCAAGUGAUGGAGCUGAGGAGAAUGUCAUCAGUAGAUACAAGUAUAGUCUCUACUUACAUGAGCAACAUAGUGGUGGGUAUACAGUAUUGCUCUUUUUAUCUGGGGAAGCCUCAGUAGCAGGAAGGG